CCUACGGGAGGCAGCAGUGAGGAAUAUUGGUCAAUGGGCGCGAGCCUGAACCAGCCAAGUAGCGUGAAGGAUGACUGCCCGACGGGUUGUAAACUUCUGUUAUAAAGGAAUAAAGUGAGGCACGUGUGCCUUUUUGUAUGUACUGUAUGAAUAAGGAUCGGCUAACUCCGUGCCAGCAGCCGCGGUAAUACGGAGGAUCCGAGCGUGAUCCGGAUUUAUUGGGGUUAAAGGGAGCGUAGUUGGGUUGUUAAGUCAGUUGUGAAAGUUUGCUGCUCAACCGUUAAAUUGCAAUUGAUACUGGCAGCCUUGCGUACAGUUGCGGUAGUCGGCAUUCGUGUUGUAGCGG
rnacentral:rRNA from 1 species